rnacentral:rRNA from 1 species
UAGGGAAUCUUCCGCAAUGGACGCAAGUCUGACGGAGCAACGCCGCGUGAGUGAAGAAGGUUUUCGGAUCGUAAAACUCUGUUGUUAGAGAAGAACAAGUGCUAGAGUAACUGUUAGCGCCUUGACGGUAUCUAACCAGAAAGCCACGGCUAACUACGUGCCAGCAGCCGCGGUAAUACGUAGGUGGCGAGCGUUGUCCGGAUUUAUUGGGCGUAAAGCGAGCGCAGGCGGUUCCUUAAGUCUGAUGUGAAAGCCCCCGGCUCAACCGGGGAGGGUCAUUGGAAACUGGGGAACUUGAGUGCAGAAGAGGAGAGUGGAAUUCCAUGUGUAGCGGUGAAAUGCGUAGAUAUAUGGAGGAACACCAGUGGCGAAGGCGACUCUCUGGUCUGUAGCUGACGCUGAGGCUCGAAAGCGUGGGUAGCAAACAGGAUUAGAUACCCUGGUAGUCCACGCCGUAAACGAUGAGUGCUAGGUGUUAGACCCUUUCCGGGGUUUAGUGCCGUAGCUAACGCAUUAAGCACUCCGCCUGGGGAGUACGACCGCAAGGUUG